rnacentral:rRNA from 1 species
UACGUAGGGUGCGAGCGUUAAUCGGAAUUACUGGGCGUAAAGCGUGCGCAGGCGGUUUUGUAAGCCAGAUGUGAAAGCCCCGGGCUUAACCUGGGAAUGGCAUUUGGGACUGCAAGGCUGGAGUGUGGCAGAGGAGACUGGAAUUCCCAGUGUAGAGGUGAAAUUCGUAGAUAUUGGGAAGAACACCGGUGGCGAAGGCGGCGACCUGGGUAGAUACUGACGCUGAGGUGCGAAAGCGUGGGGAGCAAACAGG